GCAGCCUGAUGCAGCAACGCCGCGUGCGGGAUGACGGCCUUCGGGUUGUAAACCGCUUUUAGUAAGGAAGAAGGGGAGCUUGCUCCUUGACGGUACUUGCAGAAAAAGGACCGGCUAACUACGUGCCAGCAGCCGCGGUAAUACGUAGGGUCCGAGCGUUGUCCGGAAUUAUUGGGCGUAAAGAGCUCGUAGGCGGUUUGUCGCGUCUGCUGUGAAAUCCCGAGGCUCAACCUCGGGUCUGCAGUGGGUACGGGCAGACUGGAGUGCGGUAGGGGAGAAUGGAAUUCCUGGUGUAGCGGUGGAAUGCGCAGAUAUCAGGAGGAACACCGAUGGCGAAGGCAGUUCUCUGGGCCGUAACUGACGCUGAGGAGCGAAAGCGUGGGGAGCGAACAGGAUUAGAUACCCUGGUAGUCCACGCCGUAAACGUUGGGCGCUAGAUGUGGGGACCUUUCCACGGUUUCCGUGUCGUAGCUAACGCAUUAAGCGCCCCGCCUGGGGAGUACGGCCGCAAGGCUAAAACUCAAAGGAAUUGACGGGGGCCCGCACAAGCGGCGGAGCAUGCGGAUUAAUUCGAUGCAACGCGAAGAACCUUACCAAGGCUUGACAUAUACGAGAACGCUGCAGAAAUGUAGAACUC
rnacentral:rRNA from 1 species